UUGUUGGUAAGGUAAAAGCUUACCAAGGCUUCGAUCAGUAGCUGGUCUGAGAGGACGACCAGCCACACUGGGACUGAGACACGGCCCAGACUCCUACGGGAGGCAGCAGUGGGGAAUUUUGGACAAUGGGGGCAACCCUGAUCCAGCCAUGCCGCGUGAGUGAAGAAGGCCUUCGGGUUGUAAAGCUCUUUCAGCCGGAACGAAACGGUUACGGAUAAUACCCGUGACUACUGACGGUACCGGAAGAAGAAGCACCGGCUAACUACGCGCCAGCAGCCGCGGUAAUACGUAGGGUGCAAGCGUUAAUCGGAAUUACUGGGCGUAAAGCGUGCGCAGGUGGUUUUGUAAGUCAGAUGUGAAAGCCCCGGGCUCAACCUGGGAACUGCGUUUGAAACUACAAGACUAGAGUGUGGCAGAGGGGGGUGGAAUUCCGCGUGUAGCAGUGAAAUGCGUAGAGGUGUGGAGGAACACCGAUGGCGAAGGCAGCCCCCUGGGUUAACACUGACACUCAGGCACGAAAGCAUGGGGAGCAAACAGGAUUAGAUACCCUGGUAGUCCAUGCCCUAAACGAUGUCAACUAGUUGUCGGGCCUUUACGGGCUUGGUAACGUAGCUAACGCGUGAAGUUGACCGCCUGGGGAGUACGAUCGCAAGAUUAAAACUCAAAUGAAUUGACGGGGACCCGCACAAGCGGUGGAUUAUGUGGAUUAAUUCGAUGCAACGCGAAAAACCUUACCUACCCUUGACAUGUAUCGAAGCCCGCAGAAAAGCGGGGGUGCCCGAAAGGGAACGAUAACACAGGUGCUGCAUGGCUGUCGUCAGCUCGUGUCGUGAGAUGUUGGGUUAAGUCCCGCAACGAGCGCAACCCUUGUCAUUAAUUGCCAUCAUUUAGUUGGGCACUUUAAUGAGACUGCCGG
rnacentral:rRNA from 1 species